rnacentral:rRNA from 1 species
GACGUAGGGGGCCAGCGUUGUUCGGAAUUACUGGGUGUAAAGGGUUCGUAGGCGGUGCGGCAAGUUGGGAGUGAAAUCUCUGGGCUUAACCCAGAGGCUGCUUCCAAAACUGCUGUGCUUGAGUGUGGGAGAGGCGCGUGGAAUUGCAGGUGUAGCGGUGAAAUGCGUAGAUAUCUGCAGGAACACCCGUGGCGAAAGCGGCGCGCUGGACCACUACUGACGCUGAGGAACGAAAUCUAGGGGAGCAAACGGG